rnacentral:rRNA from 1 species
UACGAAGGGGGCUAGCGUUGCUCGGAAUCACUGGGCGUAAAGCGCACGUAGGCGGACUCUUAAGUCGGUGGUGAAAUCCUGGAGCUCAACUCCAGAACUGCCUUCGAUACUGGGAGUCUCGAGUUCGGGGAGAGGGUGAGUGGAACUGCGAGUGUAGAGGUGAAAUUCGUAGAUAUCGCAAGAACACCAGUGGCGAAGGCGGCUCACUGGCCCGAUACUGACGCUGAGGUGCGAAAGCGUGGGGAGCAAACAGGG